rnacentral:lncRNA from 1 species
CCCUGGGGACAGGUGACAAUGGCAGGUGCCACCUCAGGUGUGCCCAGGUGCCACCAGGUGUGCCCAGGUGCCACCAGACCUGUCCAGGUGCCACCAGGUGUGCCCAGGUGCCACCAGGUGUGUCCAGGUACCACCAAACCUGUCCAGGUGCCACCAGGUGUGCCCAGGUGCCACCAAACCUGUCCAGGUGCCACCAGGUGUGUGCCCAAGUGCCACCUCAGGUGUGUCCAGGUGCCACCAAACCUGUCCAGGUGCCACCUCAGGUGUGCCCAGGUGUGUGCCCAGGUGUGUCAGAC